AGAGUUUGAUCCUGGCUCAGGAUGAACGCUGGCGGCGUGCCUAACACAUGCAAGUCGAGCGAUUUACUUCGGUAAAGAGCGGCGGACGGGUGAGUAACGCGUGGGUAACCUGCCCUGUACACACGGAUAACAUACCGAAAGGUAUGCUAAUACAAGAUAAAAUACUUUUAUCGCAUGGUAGAAGUAUCAAAGCUUUUGCGGUACAGGAUGGACCCGCGUCUGAUUAGCUAGUUGGUAAGGUAACGGCUUACCAAGGCGACGAUCAGUAGCCGACCUGAGAGGGUGAUCGGCCACAUUGGAACUGAGACACGGUCCAAACUCCUACGGGAGGCAGCAGUGGGGAAUAUUGCACAAUGGGCGAAAGCCUGAUGCAGCAACGCCGCGUGAGCGAUGAAGGCCUUCGGGUCGUAAAGCUCUGUCCUCAAGGAAGAUAAUGACGGUACUUGAGGAGGAAGCCCCGGCUAACUACGUGCCAGCAGCCGCGGUAAUACGUAGGGGGCUAGCGUUAUCCGGAAUGAUUGGGCGUAAAGGGUGCGCAGGCGGUCCUGCAAGUCUGGAGUGAAACGUAUGAGCUCAACUCAUGCAUGGCUCUGGAAACUGGAGGACUGGAGAGCAGGAGAGGGCGGUGGAACUCCAUGUGUAGCGGUAAAAUGCGUAGAUAUAUGGAAGAACACCAGUGGCGAAGGCGGCCGCCUGGCCUGUUGCUGACGCUGAGGCACGAAAGCGUGGGGAGCAAAUAGGAUUAGAUACCCUAGUAGUCCACGCCGUAAACGAUGAGGACCAAGUGUUGGGGGUGAAACCUCAGUGCUGAAGUUAACGCAGUGAGUCCUCCGCCUGGGGAGUAUGCACGCAAGUGUGAAACUCAAAGGAAUUGACGGGGGCCCGCACAAGCGGUGGAGUAUGUGGUUUAAUUCGAAGCAACGCGAAGAACCUUACCAGGCCUUGACAUGGGAUGCGAAGACGCAGAGAUGCGUUGGAGGUCAACAUCCACACAGGUGGUGCAUGGUUGUCGUCAGCUCGUGUCGUGAGAUGUUGGGUCAAGUCCCGCAACGAGCGCAACCCUUGUGGCAUGUUGCUAACAGGAAAGCUGAGGACUCAUGCCAGACUGCCGGUGACAAACCGGAGGAAGGCGGGGAUGACGUCAAAUCAUCAUGCCCCUUAUGGCCUGGGCUACACACGUACUACAAUGGCGGCUACAAAGAGCGGCGAGACAGUAAUGUCGAGCGAAUCUCAUAAAAGCCGUCCCAGUUCGGAUUGGAGCCUGCAACCCGGCUCCAUGAAGUUGGAAUCGCUAGUAAUCGCGGAUCAGCAUGCCGCGGUGAAUACGUUCCCGGGCCUUGCACACACCGCCCGUCAA
rnacentral:rRNA from 1 species